GUCGCGCCCGAUCGACGGGUCGCAAACCGGGGUCCCUCACCCGGCCGGCGCGACCUCCAUUCGUGAGGG
rnacentral:sRNA from 1 species